CUGCUCCUCGGGCUGGUAUAAAAGCUGGCGGCUCCCUGACGGCUUCCACUGCCUGCCAGGCCCCUGCGUGCCUCAGAGACAGGGCGGCUCCUGCCCCGUUGGCUCCCUUCUGCCAGGCACCGCCCCCAUUGUGAGACCUCAGCAUGUCCCACCCCCGCCGGGGCUCUGACCCUCCCAAGGAGCCUGCACCCGGUGUCCCUCCGAUGCCGAAGCCCGACGAUCCGCUGACCCCGGUGCCACCCCAGCCUUGGCCCGUCGGACCUCCCAAGCCUCCCCAUCCUCUGCCGCGUGGGCCGCUCGUGCCGGGGAAGCCUUGGCCGGCGGGGCCUGCGGUGCCACCUGAGCCUGGCCACCCCGGAUCUCCGGCCGGACCGUCGCAGCCACCGAAACCUAGGAGGCCUGAGGAUCCUUGGCCCCUGCCCAGGCCACCCAAGCCACCGCUGCCCGACGACCCAUACCCACCUGGGCCUGGCAUGCCAAUCGCCCCCUGGCCACCACUACCUGAGUGGGACGAUGCGGGAAAGCCCCCCGAGCAGCCCCCGGAGGCUGACUAGCUUCCUCCUCUGCCCAGACCUCUCUAGCCCUUCCGAGGGCCUGCCCCAUUUCCAGACCCACCAGCGCCUCUCAUGCCAGACCUGACUCCACCCAGCAGCCCCUUCUCCUUGCUCCCAGUCCUCUGCCCCCAGGGGGCUCCGAAGGGGUUGGGUGCCUCAGGGUGAGGCUUGGAUCAGGACCGAGCUUUGGAGGCAACGGACCAGAGGAUCGGUGUCCACCGGUGGAAGCACUAGACUGGGGUGUCCUCCAAUGCACUGGUGAAGUAUUUGUCCAUCUGUAUGUCUCCCUAGGCACCAGUAGGCUUGUCUGUCUGUCCCUCUGCCUCCAUAGCCAACCGCCUAUCUAUCUAUCUAUCUAUCUAUCUAUCUAUCUAUCUAUCUAUCUAUCCUCCCUUCUCCCCCAUCACUGUGUCUGCCCCCAUUUCACAGGGACUCGUGUUUGUUCCCUCCUCUCCCCCAUAUCUUCCCUGCCCCCUGCUUUACCCCCAUCUCCAGCCCUGCAGAAGCGGUGCCCAUGUUACCUUGCACCAUCUGUAGCGUCAUUGAUGUGCCCACCGUAGCGACCCACCCAUUGCCCAGCACUAGGGCUGACAUGUUACUUGGGGGCAGGGUCUGGUUUCCCUUCUGUUGUUUGAAAUAAGCCCUCAUUAAAGUGUUUGCAUGAGAA